UUUAAUGGAGAGUUUGAUCCUGGCUCAGGACGAACGCUGGCGGCGUGCCUAAUACAUGCAAGUCGAGCGGAGCUGAUGAGGUGCUUGCACCUCUGAUGCUUAGCGGCGGACGGGUGAGUAACACGUAGGUAACCUGCCCAUAAGACUGGGAUAACCCACGGAAACGUGAGCUAAUACCAGAUAGGCAUCUUCUUCGCAUGAAGGAGAUGAGAAAGACGGUUUCGGCUGUCACUUAUGGAUGGACCUGCGGCGCAUUAGCUAGUUGGUGAGGUAACGGCUCACCAAGGCGACGAUGCGUAGCCGACCUGAGAGGGUGAUCGGCCACACUGGGACUGAGACACGGCCCAGACUCCUACGG
rnacentral:rRNA from 1 species